rnacentral:ncRNA from 1 species
CAAUUUGAGAGUUUGAUCCUGGCUCAGAACGAACGCUGGCGGCAGGCUUAACACAUGCAAGUCGAACGCGAACGCACCUUCGGGUGUUAGUAGAGUGGCAGACGGGUGAGUAACGCGUGGGAACCUACCUAGGGGUACGGAAUAACGCAGGGAAACUUGUGCUAAUACCGUAUACGUCCUUCGGGAGAAAGAUUUAUCGCCCCUAGAUGGGCCCGCGUUGGAUUAGCUUGUUGGUGAGGUAAUGGCUCACCAAGGCUACGAUCCAUAGCUGGUCUGAGAGGAUGAUCAGCCACACUGGGACUGAGACACGGCCCAGACU